GACGAACGCUGGCGGCGUGCCUAAUACAUGCAAGUAGAACGCUGAAGGAGGAGCUUGCUUCUCUGGAUGAGUUGCGAACGGGUGAGUAACGCGUAGGUAACCUGCCUGGUAGCGGGGGAUAACUAUUGGAAACGAUAGCUAAUACCGCAUAAGAGUAGAUGUCGCAUGACAUUUGCUUAAAAGGUGCAAUUGCAUCACUACCAGAUGGACCUGCGUUGUAUUAGCUAGUUGGUGAGGUAACGGCUCACCAAGGCAACGAUACAUAGCCGACCUGAGAGGGUGAUCGGCCACACUGGGACUGAGACACGGCCCAGACUCCUACGGGAGGCAGCAGUAGGGAAUCUUCGGCAAUGGACGGAAGUCUGACCGAGCAACGCCGCGUGAGUGAAGAAGGGUUUCGGAUCGUAAAGCUCUGUUGUAAGAGAAGAACGAGUGUGAGAGUGGAAAGUUCACACUGUGACGGUAUCUUACCAGAAAGGGACGGCUAACUACG
rnacentral:rRNA from 1 species